rnacentral:rRNA from 1 species
GUAGGUGGCAAGCGUUGUCCGGAAUUAUUGGGCGUAAAGCGCGCGCAGGCGGUCCUUUAAGUCUGAUGUGAAAGCCCACGGCUCAACCGUGGAGGGUCAUUGGAAACUGGGGGACUUGAGUACAGAAGAGGCAAGCGGAAUUCCAAGUGUAGCGGUGAAAUGCGUAGAGAUUUGGAGGAACACCAGUGGCGAAGGCGGCUUUCUGGUCUGUAACUGACGCUGAGGCGCGAAAGCGUGGGGAGCAAACAGGGAUUAGAUACCCUGGUAGUCCACGCCGUAAACGGUGAGUGCUAAGUGUUAGGGGGUUUCCCGCCCCCUUAGUGCUGCAGCUAACGCAUUAAGCACUCCGCCUGGGGAGUACGGCCGCAAGGCUG